UUUGCGUGGUGUGUGUCGCCGUGAUGCUGAUGCUGACGAGCACCGGACAGGCAGGUCCUACAGGCCAGAAGCCCGGAAGUUGCCCCUUCAUCUCGGGAUCGCCGCCUGGCACCGCUAAAUGUAGUCGCAGAGGCCAAACGCCUUGCAUCGCUGAUUUCGACUGUGCUGGUGAUAGAAAAUGUUGCACGCUUGGUAUUGGUUCGAAAGUCUGUUUGAAGCCAUGGUAACGAUCGGAUAACUGAGAAAAAUCAUGGCUAACAGACAGUUCCAGAAGAUUCGAUUGCCUCGGAGAUAACCAUGGUUCACAAUGAGCACACACACAGUGGCCGCAGCCUUGUUUGCAGAAGACUGUGUCGAUUUGUCAGUUGAUUUGCCGUCUGUAUUGGUAGAGAUUGUUGAUGCUU